AGUGAUUCAUUGGACCACAUUCUGAAACACUUCUUUCUAUCUACUCAUCCAUUACUUUUCAAAAGGCUCUAAUUGAAACGACACGGGUUUUAAAGUUUGUUUUUACAGUCCUAGUGACAGAUUAACACGAUUUCUAGAUUACUGACAUGAGAAACACUCUUGAGAACUUAGCUAAUCAUCUCUGUGGCCUUUGAAAUUAGUUGUGGUAAGAGAGCAAAGCGUUUCUGAAUACAGGUCAUUGCUGGGACUCGAUGUUUUGAAACGCGUUCAAGUCGAGGCAAAUGAACCUUGGUAGGGGCGAGCGUGGCAGUGCUGGGCGGCGCCUGGUUCGUGUCGGAGGUUAACUGAGGGAAGGAAUCUCACGCCCAUAAAUAACGGGUCCUGCAUGUCACCGGCACGUCAGCACUCGCACCCCCACCAACCCUUGGCCAGCUCCACUUCCCUUGGAUGGCUCGCCCUCUGUGGACCAGCAGUGCUUUCUUACAGCUGCAAGUCCCGCUCUGGUUGUGUGCGGAUUGACGAACGAACAGCAGACGUGUGUGUCAUCACGUCACGUGGCUCCCUGGUUUCCCAUGCAGUCCGAAGGGAAGGAGACUCACCUGGUCAAGAAAGUUUUAAUUAGCAUUAAGAUGAUCAGCGGUGAUCCCUGCUGGUUCCUACCACCUUCAGUUUCUGGAGGUCGGCUGCUUGUAUAACGGCGCAACUAGCUGAUUGUUUUUCGUGUAAGUUCUAAUAAAAUGGUAUGAAGAUAAACACCAUGGCGCCUCAUUACACGUUGGUCUGACUCCAAGAAAACAAUCCCUCCAGCAAGAUGAACCCGUGGCCAGUGCAGUAGUAUAGAAUGUGGCGCGAUCUAGUCCUUACCACACUCCCUUAAGUUACGAAGCCAACGCAGUCCACGUCUGCAAGGAAAAUUAUAUAAGUCACACAAGGAAUCAGUGAUGUGGAGUAUGGACGACGACGACACACACACACACAUGGACGACGACGACACACACAGAAAGAGAGAGAGAGAGAGAGAGAGAGAGAGAGAGAGAGAGAGAGAGAGAGAGAGAGAGAGAGAGAGAGAGAGAGAGAGAGAAUCCACAGUAUGUUCCCCCACAGUAUGUUUACGAACCCACAGUCACUCACUGACUGGUCUUGCUGCUGGUCCUCACCCAAGCACCGUAUCUCCGUCUGAUGCUGGCGAGCUCCCUCUAUUGUAUUCGUUCUUCCAACAUCCUCCAACACUCCUGGAGUCCUCGCAGAUGUUAUGCUGUGUGCUGCUUUAUCCGAUUCUCGCGAGAUGUGCUGCUUGUUGUCCAUAUCUGAAAUAAAAUAUAUAAAAUUAA